rnacentral:rRNA from 1 species
UCGCCUGUUUUAACAAAAACAUGUCCUUUUGGGUUUUAUUUAAGGUCUGACCUGCCCUAUGAUUAAUUAAAUGGCCGCGGUAUUUUAACCGUGCAAAGGUAGCAUAGUCAUUUGUCUCUUAAUUGGAGGCUUGUAUGAAGGGUUGGACGAGAAAUAGACUUUCUUUUUUAUAUUUAGUUGAAUUUGAUUUUUAAGUCAAAAGGCUUAGAUUUAUUUAUAGGACGAGAAGACCCUAUAGAAUUUUAUAUUUUUAUAUUAAUAAUUUAUUUUUAAAUAAUUUUAUUUUUUUUAUAAAAAUAUUUUGUUGGGGCGAUGGGGAGAUUUUUUUAACUCUUUUUAUUUUUAUUCAUUAAUAUAUGUUUGUUUUGAUCCUUUUUUAGAGAUUAAAAGAUUUAAUUACCUUAGGGAUAACAGCGUAAUUCUUUUGGAGAGUUCUUAUCGAUAAAAGAGUUUGCGACCUCGAUGUUGGAUUAAAA